rnacentral:rRNA from 1 species
CGGAGCAUGCGGAUUAAUUCGAUGCAACGCGAAGAACCUUACCAAGACUUGACAUAUAGGUAGAAAAGCGUAGAAAUACGCUCCCCCCAAGGCUGCUAUACAGGUGGUGCAUGGUUGUCGUCAGCUCGUGUCGUGAGAUGUUGGGUUAAGUCCCGCAACGAGCGCAACCCUCGUCCUAUGUUGCCAGCACGUAAUGGUGGGAACUCAUGGGAGACUGCCGGGGUCAACUCGGAGGAAGGUGGGGAUGACGUCAAAUCAUCAUGCCCCUUAUGUCUUGGGCUUCACGCAUGCUACAAUGGCCGAUACAAAGGGCUGCGAUACCGCAAGGUGGAGCGAAUCCCAUAAAGUCGGUCUCAGUUCGGAUUGGGGUCUGCAACUCGACCCCAUGAAGUCGGAGUCGCUAGUAAUCGUAGAUCAGCAACGCUACGGUGAAUACGUUCCCGGGCCUUGUACACACCGCC